AUACUACUAUUAUCACUGAUAAUCGAUGGUAAUACCUGAAAGUAUUUUGCUAUUAAUUAAAAGUUUGUUUUGGAUUCAUUUUGAAACAGUUUUAUUAUUUGUAAUGUUAUAUUGAACCUUGAUUUGUUUUAUAUGGAAAACCUUUUUGUUUUUGCAUUUUCAAUUAUGAGUGUCUUCAUAUUUAAAAGCCCCAUAUGAUUUUCAGUAAUAAUAGUAGUAGUAAGAAAGGGUGUGAAGAAUCAAAACGAAACUGUACCUGUGGUGUCUGGAGGCAGCCAUGUUGCUGUGAUGUCAUUGGAGGAGUGGUGCUGUGAAAAAAAAAUAAUAAUAAAAAAGAGGAGAAGGGAAAAGAGUUUUUUUCUCUUUUUAUAUUCGUUUUGAAAGGAGGACAUUGGAUGGAGAAUUAUUUGUUCUUACACUUUUUUCAUUAACAUCACUAUUGAAAGGUGAUAUGCAAAUGAAGAUGAAUAUAAAGUUAUGCUGGAGUGAUGCGUCCUUCAGUAUGUGUUGUUUGUUGGUUGUGCUGUUCGUUGUGAACUUGCAUAAGAAGUUUGGUGAGUACCUAAGGUUGGAAGCGGUUGUGGCCCAGCAUGGAAUUGUGAAUUACGUCUAUAUUGAAGUGUGGAAAAAGUGUUAAUUAUUGGAUAAGUUUGGUUUUUGCUUAACAUGUUUGUAAGUUUUUCUAAUUUUAAUAAAAGUUCUUUUGGUUUAAUAUGGAGCAUUGUUUUCAAUAUUUGGAAUAUGUCACCAAAUGGCUGGAAAAUAUUGAACUAAACAUUACUGUUAAAAUAAGUACCACAAGAAAGGAGGAAGCAGGGUUACGGAUCUGGAUAGAGGAGGAGGAGGUGGUAAUCUCUCCUUUGCAAGGGGCCUUUAAACAGUUUAGCAUUACAAUCAUUCAGCAAUCCAUUGUGAACCUUAACAGGCUCAUCUCAUAACAAACGAGAGUAUCAUCAUCAAUUAAAUUGUAAAAAAGUUAUCUAUUACAGGAAAUUGCAAUCCUAGAAGAUCAUUUCUUAGCUCUGAAAGGCUACAUAUUCACAUAGUGUGUGUAGAGUAGUUUUAUCUCCUGACAUUAUCU
rnacentral:lncRNA from 1 species